AGAGAGUAGGGUGUUUAAAAUCCCCUAUGUGAGAUAUUUUUCUUUUUUUUAAAAAAGGUAUAAUUUGGGGAUGUUUGAUGUUUGAAGAGGAAAAGGGUAAUUUUUCUGUAACCAGCCUCAAGCCAUGAGAAGAGGAAGAAGAGUGCUAGAGAAACAACCUGGCAAGAGAUCAACGAAUAUAAAUAUUCUAUCCACUUCAGAGGGAAUAGGGUUUCAGAGACCAGUUUCCUAGAGCCAGUUAACUUCGAGUUAGUCUUGUGCUUGUGUAUAGAAUUGCUAUCCGCUUUCAUUCAUAUGGCCGCAUUUUUGUUUUUGAGCUCUGCUUCUGGAAACAUGGCUUUUCCGAAUGAGCUAUUUUGUUCUUUUGUCUCAAUGAAGGAAAAUGUUGUCCCAUUGGCCAGCAUGGGAGGGCUUCCCAUGCUUCCCUUCUCCUCAGUUUUAGGGCUGGGGGGUCUCACCAUUUC
rnacentral:lncRNA from 11 species